rnacentral:sRNA from 1 species
UUUGGUCUUUGUACUCUAUGAUUUGCAUCUUACACAUCUCUUGCUGCUUUUGAUAUUAAUGAUAAAAAGUGGGGGAAGAUGAAAUGGUAGCGCUAAAAAAUAAAGAGGGCCUGGAAGUUGAAACUGUUACUAAAAUUUUGCUUAAAAGUCUAGGUCUCUUACUCUGUCUGAUAGAUGGCAGUGUUUGUGGUUUAUUUUAAAGUAUUCUUUUUUCCCCAGCAUUUAUUGCAGCGCUGUACAUUGAUAAGGAUUUGGAAUAUGUUCAUACUUUCAUGAAUGUCUGCUUCUUUCCACGAUUGAAAGAGUUCAUUUUGAAUCAGGAUUGGAAUGACCCCAAAUCCCAGCUUCAGCAGUGUUGCUUGACACUUAGGACAGAAGGAAAAGAGCCAGACAUUCCUCUGUACAAGUAAGUACUUGCUGCCUGCAGGCCAUUGGUUGGAUCCAGCAUGCCUAGAAUUGACUUUCCAUGUGCCUUGAAGAAUGAGGCAUUGUGGGGUGAUCAUGACAGGAGCCCAGGAUUGAGACUUCUUGGCUGUUAGUGUGACUUUGGGCCCCACAGGGAAACUCAUUGGGGCUGUCAGUCUUAGCUGUAAUAAGUGGGUCCCACUCCAUUAUCUCUGUUCUCUCCCAUUUCUAAAAAUCUCUGUGAACUACUGCCUGGGAGGGAGACAAACUAAGAUUAUGAGAUCAAAAAGAAAAUUUGGAUUCAGUGGUUUUUAUGUAC